rnacentral:lncRNA from 1 species
ACACCACAAUAUGAUAGGUGAAUUUAAGUAAGGUCUCCUCGGAUAAUCUAUAUAAUCUAUCAAUAGAAGUCUCUUCACCAAAUGAUAAUACCCAUGCUUGAAGGGUUGCCUCAGAUCAGCAGGAGCCAGACACUGCAUGGCUCAUCCAUCAGGUAAAGAAAGGCCAACAAUAAAAUACAUGUUAUUUGUGGAUGUUUGUUGCGGGAAGAGUUUCAUCAAGAGAACAAGGAAAUAAAGUAUCUGCAGAUAUAGGAGUUUGCGGGUGUAGAAAGAAUAAGGGAAUCAAUGUUGUCUGUCGGAACAACUGGUUGGGCUACUGCUUCUUUGAGGAGUUGGUUUCUUGAUUCUUUAUCUUCGAUCUAGAAAUAGUUUCAGUGCAAACUAUUCUCAUACUAUCAAACCGGAAUAACUCGAUUGUGAGGAGAGGUUUAAAUAACUCGUGGAACCUUAUACUCUCCUUUAUCAGUAUCAUUUCGUUGGACCUGUUCUUUCUAAGAGAUAGGGGAUACAUUUUCUAUUCAUGCCGCUUUCUUUUGUUGUAUCGCUAAAUAAGCAGGCUUCCGUCAAGCGGGGUCAGUCAAAGGGAAAGAAGAAGAGUGAGCGAGAAAGCACUGAGCUUACUCUUUAAGAAUUGAUUACUGUUGAUGGCGGGGAAUGGAAACCUUUCCUUUUCUAGUUGUGAAACUAACUCCAUUAUUUUAUUAAGUGACA